rnacentral:lncRNA from 1 species
CUGGCUUCUACCUUAUUCAAUAUCUGCCAGGCGGGCAAGGCUCCUGGGAGCAUCCCUGAAGCCAUUUCUCUGGGCCAGGAGCCAGCUGUUCCCAAAAUGGCCACGAUGCCUCAGGAGGGAGGUUGACACCCUGUGCUCUCAGAAGCAGCUCAGAGCUCAGAGGCAGACCUCUACUCAUGCAAUUCUGCCUUCUGUGCAUGCAAUGGAUUGCUGCCAUCUCCAAUCAGG